rnacentral:rRNA from 1 species
AUGGCAAGGGCACCCCCGGCGCCUCGUCCUCCCGUGCUCACCUUCCCCCUUCUCCUCCUCCUCCGGCAGCGACGCGUUUCCGCCCUGGUCGCCGGCGCCUGCACAUCCCGGUGCAUCAAUCGCGGUGGCACUGGGAGUACAGGCAGCCAUUGCCGUACCCCGAUGUCACGCUGCCGCACCGUUGGCAUCUGGAUCCGCAGCGGAUCCCGGUGCCGGCGGUUCCUCGUACUCAAUGGGCGCACGACGACGAGGUGCGCAGGCGCCGCGCGCAGCUCACGCCGGAGCAGCGUCGGCUGCCAGAGUACGCCGCCGACUCCCCCAACUGGGAGGCGUGGUUCGCCCUCAAACACGAGGAGCAACGUGCACUCGGGUGUCGACGCCGUCCCGCCGCCGUUCCCACCGCCGCCCCCGUAG